rnacentral:lncRNA from 1 species
UUCAAGAAAGACCAUGUCCUCAAGGUCGUAGUUGAGCCACAAACUCUUGAAAUCAGUGCUUGAUGUAGCUCCAAUCUUCCCAAGAAGCUUCCUUUUCACUCAGGUUAGCCCACUGAACGAAUACUUAUACUCCAACUCCAUUGUUGACCAUUAUCAUUUUUCUCUGAAGAAUGGGGACUGGUUGAAUCAAGACGUUUCCUUCUAUAUCGCGGAGGGGAGGUUGUUGUGCUAGGACGAUAGUGAGGCUUAUGCGACAUUUCAGCUGCAAGAAAUGAAACACUGGGUGUAUUUGCGAUCCAGGUGGAAGCUGCAAUCCGUAAGGUAUAGAUCCUAUUUUCUGUUCAAUCUUAUGUGGACCAUAGUAUUUUGCACACAGUUUUACAUUUUUGCACACAUCUAUAGAGGAUUAACAAUAAGGUUGUAGCUUUAGGUAAACUUGAUCCCCACUUCUAAUGUCCUUUGUGAUCUCAGUCUAUCUGCGUAGAACUUCGCCUGUGCUUGUGUCAAAUUCUCCUUCAGUGUUUGUAGCAUGUACUGACGCUGAGCCACACUCAAUUUUACUUGUGAUUGGCUUAUGUUAGACAAGGAUUUUGUGGGUCAUUGUGAAGGUGGAUAACCAUACAGUGCUUGAAAGGGGUUGAUUUUCAAUGCAAUAUGGUAGUUCGUGUUAUACCACCAUUCUGCCAAAUGAAGCCACUUGGUCCAUAGUUUGGGGUUAUCAAAUACCAUUACUCAUAGAUAAGUUUCCAUGCACCUGUUUAGCCUUUCAGUCUGUCUAUCUGACUGUUGAUGAUAGGUUGUGCUCAUGUUCAAUUUGGUGCCCAUUAUCUUGAAAAGAUGUUGCCAGAAAUGGCUAGUGAAUAUAGGAUCCCUAUUAGACACUAUUGUUUUAGGUAACCCAUGCAAUCUAUAAACUUCCUUGAGAAAUAGAUCUGCAACCUCUUGAGCUGAAAAUGGGUAUUUUAAUGGCCAAGAAAUGACCAUACUUGGUGAAUCUAUCAAUCACCACUAACACUGCAUUUUUACCCCCAGAAUUUGGUAAUCCUUCCACAAAAUUCAUGGACAUGUCCUUCCAUGCCUGGUCUGAAAUUGGCAGUGGCUGAAGCAAACCUAGUGAGUGAACAUUUUUAGAUUUAACUCGUUGACAGACAUCAUACUCCUCCACCUAUUUACACACUUCGUUUUUCAUAUUUGGCCAAUGAAACAGAAGUUGUAAUCUUUUGUAAAUGCCCUGCUGCCCUGAUUGCCCACUAAUAGCGGAAUGAUGCAUAGUUUGUAGAACAUUUUCACUUAGAUCAGUACCCUUCCCCACAUAGAUCUUCUGUUUGUAUCUGAUGACUCCCUGACGUAAAGUAUAGUCCUCAUUAUUGUUAGAAUUGAUAGUUAACUUACUCAUAUCUAUAAGAGAGAAAUAAGAUCCAUUUCAUAACUAUCAACAAUAUCUUGCAGCCAAGUAGCAUGUGGGCUGGAUAUGGCUAAUAGAGUAGAUUUAUCUUUCUAUCUUCUUGAGAGAGCAUCUGCCACCCUGUUCUCACUGCCCUCCUUAUAUUGGACCUCGUAAUCAAGGCCCAAAAGCUUUGUUAACCCUUUCUGUUGGAAGGUUUUAGUUACCUUUUGCUCUAGUAGUUAUUUCAAGCUUUGAUGAUCAGCCUUAACAACAAAGUGCCCCCCUUGUAAGUAAUGCCUCCACCUAUCUACAGCUGAUAAUUUGCCAUAUACUCUUUUCAUAAGUAGAAAAUCCCUUAUGCUUGAGUGCUAGUGGUUUGCUAAUAAAAGCUAUAUGACUGCCUCCCUGCAUCGAUACAACACCUAUUCUAGUAGCACAUGCAGUAGUUUCUAUCACAAAAGGCUUUGUGAAAUUAGCCAAACCAAGCACAGGUACUGUUGAUAUAGCUAUCUUCAAUUGUUGAAAAGUUGAUUCUACUUCUUCAUUCUGCUGAAAGGUAUCUUCUUAAGAAGAUUAGUUAAUGGUCUACUUAUAAUUCCAUAAGAUUUAACAAAUCUCCUAUAGUAGCCAGUCAACACUAGGAAUCCCCUUAAGGCCUUUAUUGAUUUAGGUACAGGAUAAUUUACAAUUGUUUCAAUUUUAGUAGGGUCAAUAGAAACCUCUCUACUUGAGAUAAUUUGUCCCAUGUAUUUCACCUUAUCAUGUCCAAAAGCACAUUUAGACAUCUUUGCAUAAAACUGCUCUUUCUGUAGGAUCUCUAGUACUUUUUUGAGAUGUAUUACAUGAGUCUCCAUUGAUGAACUGUAAACUAAUAUAUCAUCAAAAAAACCAAUACAGAAUUCUUUAAAAAAGGUUUAAACACCUGACUUAUGAGGCUUUGAAAUGUGGCUAGGGCAUUGGUCAAGCCAAAUGGCAUGGGCCUAAAUUUAUAGUGCCCUAGAUGUGUUCUAAGGGCAGUUUUGUAGAUGUCCCCUUCCUUCAUUCUUAUUUGGUGAUAACCAACUCUCAAGUUAAUUUUAAUAAAUGCAAGAACCGUUAAGCUCAUCUACCAAGGGAAUUGAGAACUUAUCCUUAAUUGUUCUUUUGUUUAAUUGUCUAUAAUCAAUGCAAAAUCUCUAACUUCCAUCUUUUCUCUUGACUAACAAUACAGGGGAAGGGAGUGGGAAAUGGCUAGGUUGUAUAGUCCCAUUAUUAAGCAUUUCACUAACUUGCUUUUCUAUCUCAUUCUUCUGAAAAUAGUUGUACAUGUAUGGUUGAUACUGAUUGGUACUGGUUCAGGUUUAACUGUGGGAUCUGAUGGUCAUGAGUCCUUCUUGGUGGUAGGCACUUUAGUACAGCAAACACUCAUGGGAUUUCAGCUAUAAUGUCUUGAAUCUUGUCAGAUAUGCUACUUGGGUAAUUAUGUGGUUUGUACAUUAAUAGUGAACAAAUGUGCCCACGACACAUGUCCUUUCUUCAACAACUAUUUCACCCCAGUGGUUGUCAUACUUUGUAGUUUUCCUUCCUUAGAGUAUCCCUUCAAAUCUACCCCUUUUCCCUUUCACACUCACUUGUAGUCUAUAUGCAAUAAAGUCAAACAGGAUUGGAUUGUGUUUUAUCAUCCAAUCCACUCCCAAGACUGCAUCACAACCCCCUAUAUUUAAUAACCUCAAUUUAUGUUCAAAUUCGAUACCCAGAGUUUUCCACUUGAAUUGAGGGCAAGAAGGGAAACUCGUUAGAUGCCCCUCAUUUGCCAAAGCUACCCUCUUUGGUACAAUUUCUUGGAUUGCACAUCCUAGUUGCUUGGUAGUGCUUCUAGCUAUAAAGUUGUGAGUACUGCUAGUGUCUGCUAGGAUCAUCAAUACGUGUUUCCCAGAUACUCCCUUUAGAUUGAUAGUUGUAGAAGUAAUAGCCCCUGACAAUGCCUUGAGACUAAUUGUCUCAUCUAUGAUAGCUUCUGAAUUCUCAGUAGGAACUAUCUCAUUCUCCAUCUGAUCUUCUACCUUCAACUGCUCUAGUUCUAUUAUUCCUGACAGUGGAUUGAGUUGUUUAUUCUUACACACAUGCCCAGGGAAAUAUCUUUUUCCACACUUAUAGCACUCCCCUUUUGCUUUUCUAGAUUCAAAGAGUUUAGUCCCUGUGAUUGAGGCCUAUUGGUUAUUCUCCUUCUAUACAUAGCUAGAAGGUUUGCUCCCUGUAGUAUUAACAUGAGUACUUGGCUAAGGGUUUUGUCUUCCCCCAUACCCUUUCUUCCUAUUCAUUGUCUCCAUUAAUUCUUCCUUGUGUCUAGCUUUUUCUACUGCAUGACUUAAUGAAUAGGGAGUCAAGCAUUUUAACAGUAUGCCUAAUCUCUUCCUUAAGUCCUAUUAUAAAAUCCCCCCAAAAAAAACUCUCCAGGUAUGUUUGGAUGUUUAAUUAACACCCAUGGCUUCGAAUCUUCAAACCUCUCCAAAUAUUCAUUAACUGAUCCAUUUUGCUCCACCCUCGUAAACCUUCCUAACAGAUUUAGGUUGCUAUUAUCCGCAUCACUGAAUCUUUUACAAAUCUCCUCCACAAACUCAACCCAUCUAACAGUGCCCCAACUCAAUUGAUAAGGAAAAAAUACCAUGCCUCUACUCUACCAUUCAAGUGCAGUACAACAGUCUCAAGUUUAUGUUGUGGAUCAAUUAUAUGAUUUUAAUGAAAUACCUUUUGCAUUUUUGCAGCUGAUGAUAGGCUAUAAUUACAUGUUUUAGUCAUUUAUUACACUCAAAUUUAAUGCACUUUAAUUGAGUUUGAGUUUUAAUCGCUAGUGUCUUGCACUAAUUCUGUGUUUUAUGCCUUAUAGGGGUGAUUUCGAGCUAUGUAGAUGUUAUGGAAUGAAUUCAAGUGAUUUGGAGCUUUGAAGUUUGAGUAAAAGCCCAAGGAAUUAAGCCGGGAUCAUAUUUAGGGAUCAAUGGAUGAUAAAGAACCAAAACAAAGAAUUGAGUAGGCAUAUUGCGCGCUAUCUAGUAAAAUGCACAAAACCUUUUUCAUAGAAUUUCAUUUUGGCUCCACAAUAUAUUGUUUGAAAACUAACUCAAAGGACUACAACAUUCAUGUUUUACGUUUAUCCAAAUUUCAAAUGGAACAGGGUGAAAGACACAGUCGAAAUCGCGACCGCGAACCUAAGGAUGGCCGAGGCAAUACACUAGGAAAGUAUCGUGCCCGGACCGCGGCCAGGGAAGUCCUGGCCUGGAAACAUGUCUUUUUUGCAUAGAAAAAGGUAUAGUUAUUUAGGCCUGAUCCUACAUGGAAAAAUGUAUUUUGAGGGGAAGAGACUAGUUUUUAACACAGAUUCGACGGAGGCAUACACACAAUAGGAGCAAUGCGGAGAAUUCUUCUACCAGUUUUUCCUUCCUCUUCCUAUUUUUUUCAUUGUUGAUUAUAAGUUUUAGUAUUGUAGUUUUACAUACUAUUAUGAAUAUUUAAUUUGUCACUAGGGUUUUGAUGGAACCUUUUGUAGGAUAAAUUCAUCUUAUGUUUUUAUAUAAUUG